rnacentral:rRNA from 1 species
AUUGAACGCUGGCGGCAUGCCUUACACAUGCAAGUCGAACGGUAACAGGUCUUCGGAUGCUGACGAGUGGCGAACGGGUGAGUAAUGCAUCGGAACGUGCCGAGUAGUGGGGGAUAACGCAUCGAAAGGUGUGCUAAUACCGCAUACGUACUGAGGUAGAAAGUGGGGGACCUUCGGGCCUCACGCUAUUCGAGCGGCCGACGUCUGAUUAGCGAGUUGGUGAGGUAAAGGCUCACCAAGGCGACGAUCAGUAGCGGGUCUGAGAGGAUGAUCCGCCACACUGGGACUGAGACACGGCCCAGACUCCUACGGGAGGCAGCAGUGGGGAAUUUUGGACAAUGGGCGCAAGCCUGAUCCAGCCAUGCCGCGUGUCUGAAGAAGGCCUUCGGGUUGUAAAGGACUUUUGUCCGGGAGCAAAUGCCUGGUGUUAAUAGCAUCGGGAGCUGAGAGUACCGGAAGAAUAAGCACCGGCUAACUACGUGCCAGCCGCCGCGGUAAUAC